UGGCUCAGAUGUUAGAGCAUGGUGUUUGCAAUGCCAGGGUUGUGGGUUAGAUUCCCAC
rnacentral:tRNA from 1 species